rnacentral:precursor_RNA from 15 species
AUUCCGGAAAAACCAUGCCUCCCAAUGGUGAGUGUAACCGCACGUCUUGUUUCAAAACUCAAUAUAUGGAAAAAGACCACCGGUUACACUACAUUAUUGGUUGGAGUCUGAUUAAUAUUGCAA